GGGGGUAUAGCUCAGUUGGUAGAGCGUCUGCCUUACAAGCAGAAUGUCAGCAGUUCGAGUCUGUUUGUCCCCA
rnacentral:tRNA from 1 species